rnacentral:rRNA from 1 species
CCUACGGGAGGCAGCAGUGAGGAAUAUUGGACAAUGGGCGCAAGCCUGAUCCAGCCAUGCCGCGUGCAGGAAGACGGUCCUAUGGAUUGUAAACUGCUUUUGUACGGGAAGAAACACUCCUACGUGUAGGAGCUUGACGGUACCGUAAGAAUAAGGAUCGGCUAACUCCGUGCCAGCAGCCGCGGUAAUACGGAGGAUCCAAGCGUUAUCCGGAAUCAUUGGGUUUAAAGGGUCCGUAGGCGGUUUAGUAAGUCAGUGGUGAAAGCCCAUCGCUCAACGAUGGAACGGCCAUUGAUACUGCUAGACUUGAAUUACUAGGAAGUAACUAGAAUAUGUAGUGUAGCGGUGAAAUGCUUAGAUAUUACAUGGAAUACCAAUUGCGAAGGCAGGUUACUACUAGUGGAUUGACGCUGAUGGACGAAAGCGUGGGGAGCGAACAGGAUUAGAUACCCUGGUAGUCCACGCCGUAAACGAUGGAUACUAGCUGUUCGGGGCAACCUGAGUGGCUAAGCGAAAGUGAUAAGUAUCCCACCUGGGGAGUACGUUCGCAAGAACGAAACUCAAAGANAGUCGACGNGNGAGAGCGACGACGACGACGACGGAGGAGGAGG